AGGACGAACGCUGGCGGCGUGCUUAACACAUGCAAGUCGAGCGGAAAGGCCCUUCGGGGUACUCGAGCGGCGAACGGGUGAGUAACACGUGAGCAAUCUGCCCUUAGCUUCGGGAUAGCUCCGGGAAACCGGAUUAAUACCGAAUACGACUACGGCCGACAUCGGCUGUGGUGGAAAGUUUUUCGGCUAGGGAUGAGCUCGCGGCCUAUCAGCUUGUUGGUGAGGUAACGGCUCACCAAGGCGACGACGGGUA
rnacentral:rRNA from 1 species